UACGGAGGAUGCAAGCGUUAUCCGGAAUGAUUAGGCGUAAAGCGUCCGCAGGUGGCUAUGUAAGUCUGCUGUUAAAGAGUGAGGCUCAACCUCAUAAGAGCAGUGGAAACUACAUAGCUAGAGUGCGUUCGGGGCAGAGGGAAUUCCUGGUGUAGCGGUGAAAUGCGUAGAUAUCAGGAAGAACACCGGUGGCGAAAGCGCUCUGCUAGGCCGCAACUGACACUGAGGGACGAAAGCUAGGGGAGCGAAUGGG
rnacentral:rRNA from 1 species